GCAAGCAUGGUAUAGUGGUUUGAGCUCUGGACUAUAACUCUAGAAACCAGGGUUCAAAUCCUUGGCUCAGCC